CCAUGGAGCAGCGCAGCUUAGGUGGAGUGGAUCUUGACAGAGCUAGGUGGUGUGCAUAAGGGAAUGAUUUAAUUUAAUUGGUUCAAAUUUGUUAUGGGUGGAGUUACUAUCAAGGUAUAUAAGUGGCAACCAUUUUGUAAACGGUCACUUAACUGCUUUUCUAAAUCCUGGUUGUCCCACCCUCCCUCCCUUUAACGGUGGGUUGUGGGGGGUGACUACCCCGUUUUGUCACAGCGGCGGGGAUAGUUGGGGAUUAUUGUUUAGUACGGUGGUUUUUAUGGUUUGGUUUACUAAUUUGACUUGGUUCAAGUUAGUUUGGUAGGUUUCGAGCUGGCCUGUGGCUCAGAACCUGGGGUGGUGUAGGGGUGUCUCGGUAUGCCCCUACAUGGUUUAUAAUUUGGGUAAAUGGUCUGGUAGGGGUGUCUGGGUAUGCCCCUAUUGUGGUCAAUGUGUUAAUGUGGAGGCACCUGUUAUGUGUUGGUGCCAUUGUUAUACGGUUAAUGUGUUUAUUAUGGGAGGUCAUUGUCAUGGUUAAUAAAAGGUAAAUCUGUUAUUCAUGUUCUAACCGUGGUGGCCUGUUUUGACAAUGACCUUUAAAUAUUGUAUAAAUUAAUAAAGCUGUGGAAAUUAUAUUUGCACCCAAUAAA